UACGUAGGCAGCAAGCGUUGUUCGGAGUUACUGGGCGUAAAGGGUGUGUAGGCGGUUGGGUAAGAGUGGUGUGAAAGCCCCGGGCUCAACCUGGGAACCGCGCUUGAGACUGGAGAACUAGAGUUCGGGAGAGGAUGGUGGAAUUCCCAGUGUAGAGGUGAAAUUCGUAGAUAUUGGGAAGAACACCGAUGGCGAAGGCAGCCAUCUGGACCGACACUGACGCUGAGGCGCGAAAGCGUGGGGAGCAAACAGG
rnacentral:rRNA from 1 species